AGUACACCGGACUGAAGGGCAUACUGUCGGUUGGGAGCUCAGGCCAAGGGCGACCACACUUGAUCAAAGGGCUUUCUAUUGGUUGAGGGCUCAGGAUAAAGCUAAGCACACUUGACCUUAGGGCCUACCCUCGGUUGAGAGCUCAAGCCAAAGCCGAGCACAUCAGACUAAAGGUCCUAUUGCAGUUGGAAGCUCAGGCCCAAGUAGAGCACACCUGACUGAAAGGCCUUCCCUUGGUUAAGGUCUCAGGCAAAGCCGAGUAGACCGCAAAGCCUUGUAGACCUAAUUGAGAUGCCAACCUUCGGUUUGGUUGGGAGUUAGAGCCAAGGCCAAGCACACCUGACGGAAGGUAUUCCCCUCAUUGGGAGCUGAGGCCAAGGCCGAGAUCCUCGGUUGGGGGCUCAAACCAUGGUCAAGCACACCUAACCAAAGAGCCUAACCUCGGUUGGGAGCUCAAGCAAGGCCAAGCAUAGCUGACCGAAGGGCCUUGCCUCGAUUGGGGGAUGUGGCUAAAGUCGAACACCUUGAUUGAAGGUUUUAGCUUCUGUUGGGGGCUUAGGCCUAGGCCGAGCACACUUGACCAAAGUGCCAACUCUCAAUUGGAAGUUUAAGCUAAGGCCGAGCGCACUUAGCCAAAGGGCCUAUCCUCAGUUAGGAGCUCAGGCCAAGGCCGUGCAAACCUAUCCGAAGGGCCUACUCUCAGUUUGGGGUUAGGACAAAGCCGAGCUCACAUGAUCGAAGGGUCUACCCUCGGUUAAGGGCUCUGGUUAAGGCCAAACACAAGACCGAGGGGCCUACCCUCGAUUGGGGGCUCAGGCCAUGGCCGAGAAGACCUGACUGAGGGGCCUACACUCGGUUGGGUGCUCAGGCCAAGGUCGGGCACACCUGACGAAAGGGCUUACCCUUAGUUGGGAGCUCAAGCUAAAGCCGAGCAUAGAUGACCAAAGGUCUAUGCCUCUGUUGGAGGCUCAAGCCAAAGCUGAGCACACCUGACUGAAGUGCCUACCUUCAGUUGGGAGUUCAGGCCCAAGCUGAGCAAACCUGACCGAAGGGCCUUCCCUCGAUUGGGAGCUCACGCCAAUGCCGAGCACCCUGCUUGCUCAGAGAACCUUCUCCCAUAAAAUAGUCAAAUGUGCCUGAGCAUAGUUUACUUUGGAGACUCAAAUAUGUUUUUCCCAAAAAAAAGGUGGGAAUGAUGGAACUUAAAAAAUAUAUAUAUAAAAAAACUAUAAAAAAGUUUGUGAUCACCCACUCCGUGUUCACUAUCUAAUUUUAACAAUUGGGCUUCUAAUCUUAAAAAGAGUACCAAAGAAAAAAAGGGGGGACCAAGGGGGAUACAAAGUGAAAGACAACAUUCACUUUUGUUUGAUUACUAGCACUUAGCUUGUAGCGUAAGCUUAGUUUUAUUGACUAGUUUGAUUUACAGGAACCAAGUUCUUGGUGUCAUAAAAUUUAUUAAUAAUUUUUUUCUAAUUAUGCAAGAACUUGACUUGGGUAAGGACAAGGUAAGAUUUAUGUAAUAGAUUUAUUUCCUAGAAACGAAAUUAUCUUGUUUAUACCUAUUCUCCAAAUAUGCAGUGCAACAUGAACUUGGUUUUAGAUGAGCGUUGCUUAUAUCAAAGAUUCUAGAACUACAGAUAAGUUUUUCCUUUGUCUUCUAUAUUGUUUCUGAAUAUCAUUCAUGUUAAUGAAUUUAGAAAUCAAUAUUUAUUUGUAGGAGAAAGAGAAAAGGAGAACCUGUCAAAAUACUAGCACCAAGGUAUCCUAGCAAUUCCAGUUGCUGUGUUAUAUGCUGCACAUUUUCAGAACCGACACUUUGUUUUGUGGUCUUACUCUUGGAGGGAACCUCUAGGUGUGGGAAGGCGUCAGGGAACUCCUCACUGUUUAAUCUUGACAAUAGUACUUCUUAUCUAAAAGGAGCACCAGAAGAAGGGGGGGGACUAAUAAAGAUACAAAGUCAAUGACAAUAUUCACCUUUUAUUACUACCAAUCAUCUUGUAACAUAAGUCUGGUUAAAUUCACUGUAUUGUUUUACGAGAACCAAUUUUUUUGUUUCAGAAAAUUUAUUGAUAUUUUUUUUUUCUAAUUGUGCAGGAACUUGACUUGGAUAACGAUAAGGAGAAAGAGAAAAGGAGAAUCUGUUAAAAUACUAGCGCCAAGGUAUCUUAGUAAUUCCAGUUGCUAUUUUAUUUGCUGCACAUUUUCAGAACUGAUCUAUCUCCUCCCUUCUUUAUCAUUUACACCUUGGUGUGGGAAGGCGUUAGGGGACUUCGCACUAAUUAAUCUUGACAGUAGUAUGUCUUAUCUAAAAAGGACUACGAAAGAGAAGGGGGGAGUAAUGAGGAUAUAAAGUGAAGGACAAUAUUCACUUUUGUUUGAUUACUACCACUCAGUCUGUAAUGCAUGUUUAGUUAAAUUCACUAUAUUGUUUUACAAGAACUAAUUUUUUGUUUUCAGAAAAUUUAUUGAUAGUUUUUCACCAAUUGUGCAGGAACUUGACUUGGGUAUCGACGAGCUAAAAGCACUCCUACAUGAACGUGGAUGUAGAUGAGCCUUGCUUACAACAAAGAUUGUAUAAUUGCAGAUAAGUUAUGCAUAUGUCAUCUAUUUGUUUCCUAGUAUCAUUCACAGUGAUGCCUUCAAAAAUAAAUCAUUCUUUGCAGGUGAAAGCACUACUGUAUGAACUUGGAGCUUAGACCGAAAGGCUUUCCCUCGGUUGGGAGUUAAAGCCAGUGCCAAGUAUGCCUCAUGGAUGAUAUUACCCUCAUUUGGGAGCUCAGGCCAAGGCGGAGCAGACCUGAUCAACGGGCCUACCUUAGUUGGGUGCUUAGGCCAAUGUCGAGCUCCACUGACCAAAGGGCCGACCCUCGGUUAGGAGCUUAGGCAAAAGCCGGGCAUAGCUAACCAAAGGGUUUUUCCUCGAUGUGGGGAUGAGGCUAACGCCGAACACCCUGAUUGAAGGGUCAAGCCUCAGUUAGGGCUUAAGCCUAGGCCGAGCACACCUGACCAAAGUGCACUUGACCAAAGUGCUAACCCUUAAUUGGGAGUUCAAGCUAAAGCUGAGCACACCUAACCGAAGGGCCUUCCCUCGGUUAGGAGCCCCAGGCAAGGCUGUGCAAACCUGACUGAAGGGUCUAAUCUCGGUUUGGGGUCAAACUAAGGCCGGGCAUACCUAACGGAAGGGCCUACCCUCGGAUUGGGGCUCUUGACAAGGCUAAACACAUUGGACCGAAGGGCCUACCCUCGGUUGGGUGCUAAGGUCAUGGCCAAGUACACCUGAUAAAAGGGCCUAUUCUUGAUUGGGAGUUCAGGCUAAGGCUGAGUAGACUGAACAGAGGGGCCUACACUCGUUUGGGUGCUCAGGCCAAGGUUGAGCACACCUGACCAAACGGCCUGCCCUCGAUUGGGAGCUGAGGACAAAGUCGAGCAUAGAUGACCGAAAGGCCUUGCCUUUGUUUAGGGCUUAGGCUAAAGCCGAGAAAGCCAAAUUAAAGGGCCUAACCUUGGAUAGGGUCUUAGGCCUAGGCCAAGCUCACCUAACCAAAGUGCCUACCCUCAGUUGGGGGUUCAAGCCUAGACCGAGCACAACUGACCGAAGGGCCUACCCUCGGUUAGGAGCUCAGGCCAAGGUCGAGCAAACUUGACUGAUGGGCCUACCCUCGGUUUGGGGUCGCGCCAAAGCCGAGCACACCUGACAAAAGAGCCUAUCUUCGGUAGGGGCUCAGGCAAAGGCUAAACACACCAAAUCGUAUGGCUUACACUUGUUUGGGGGCUCAGGCCGAGGUCGAGUACACCUGACCAAAGAGCUUAUCCUUAUUUGGGAGGUCAGGCUAAAGGCGAGCAUAGAUGACCGAAGGGCCUUGCCUCUGUUUAGGGCUUAGGCUAAAGCCAAACAAGCCAAUCUGAAGGACCUAACCUCGGAUGGGGGCUUAGGCCUAGGCUGAGCAGACCUAACCAAAGUUCCUACCCUCAGUUUGGAAUUCAUGCCUAGGCAGAGCAAAAUUGACUAAGGGGCCUACCCUCAGUUUGGGUCAGGCCAAAUUCUAGAACACCUGAUCAUAGGGCCUACCUUCGGUAAGGGAUCAAGCUAAGGCCAAACAUACCAAACCGAAGGGACUAACCUCGGUAGGGAGCUCAGCCACGACUGAGUACACCUGAUUGAAGGGUGUACUCUAGGUUAGGAGAUCAGGCUAAGGCAAAGCACACCUGACCGAAGGGUCUACCCUCGGUUGGGAGCUCAACCAUGGCUGAGUACAUUUGACCGAAGGGCGUAUUCUCUGUUAGGAGCUCAGGCCAAAGCCGAGCACACCUGACCGAAGGGUCUACCCCGGUUUGGAGCUUAAACCAGAGUCGAGGAUACGUGAUAGAAGGGCCUUCCCUCGGUUGCGGGCUUAAGCCAAAGCUGAGCAAACCUGAUUGAAGGGCCUACCCUCGAUUGGGGGCUCAGGCCAAAGCCGAGAACACCUAACGGAAGGACUUACUCUCUAUUGGGAGCUUAGGUCAUAAUCUAGUGCACUUGAUCGAAGGGCCUACUCUCAGUUGGGAGCUUAGCUUGAGGUUGAGCACACUUGAUCGAAGGGCAUACCCUCAGUUGGGGGCUCUGGCCAAGGCCAAACACACCACACUGAAGGGCCUACCCUAGGUUGGAAGCUCAAGCUCGGGCCACGACCGAGUACACCGGACUGAAGGGCAUACUGUCGGUUGGGAGCUCAGGCCAAGGCCGAGCACACUUGAUCAAAGGGCUUUCUAUUGGUUGAGGGCUCAGGAUAAAGCUAAGCACACUUGACCUUAGGGCCUACCCUCGGUUGAGAGCUCAAGCCAAAGCCGAGCACAUCAGACGAUAGGUCCUAUCGCAGUUGGAAGCUCAGGCCCAAGUAGAGCACACCUGACUGAAAGGCCUUCCCUUGGUUAAGGUCUCAGGCAAAGCCGAGUAGACCGCAAAGCCUUGUAGACCUAAUUGAGAUGCCAACCUUCGGUUUGGUUGGGAGUUAGAGCCAAGGCCAAGCACACCUGACGGAAGGUAUUCCCCUCAUUGGGAGCUGAGGCCAAGGCCGAGAUCCUCGGUUGGGGGCUCAAACCAUGGUCGAGCACACCUAACCAAAGAGCCUAACCUCGGUUGGGAGCUCAAGCAAGGCCAAGCAUAGCUGACCGAAGGGCCUUGCCUCGAUUGAGGGAUGAGGCUAACGUCGAACACCUUGAUUGAAGGUUUUAGCUUCUGUUGGGGGCUUAGGCCUAGGCCGAGCACACUUGACCAA